UCUGAUGGCGAGUGGCGAACGGGUGAGUAAUAUAUCGGAACGUGCCCAGUAAUGGGGAAUAACUAGCCGAAAGGUUAGCUAAUACCGCAUACGACCUACGGGUGAAAGCAGGGGAUCUUAGGACCUUGCGUUAUUGGAGCGGCCGAUAUCUGAUUAGCUUGUUGGUGGGGUAAAAGCCUACCAAGGCAACGAUCAGUAGCUGGUCUGAGAGGACGAUCAGCCACACUGGAACUGAGACACGGUCCAGACUCCUACGGGAGGCAGCAGUGGGGAAUUUUGGACAAUGGGGGAAACCCUGAUCCAGCCAUCCCGCGUGAGUGAAGAAGGCCUUCGGGUUGUAAAGCUCUUUCGAAAGUGAAGAAAACUUAUUUCGUAAUAUGUUAUAAGUAUGACGGU
rnacentral:rRNA from 1 species